UCAGGAAUCUUGGACAAUGGGGGCAACCCUGAUCCAGCCAUGCCGCGUGGGUGAAGAAGGCCUUCGGGUUGUAAAACCCUUUCAGGUGGGAAGAUGAUGACGGUACCACCAGAAGAAGCCCCGGCUAAAUUCGUGCCAGCAGCCGCGGUAAUACGAAUGGGGCGAGCGUUGUUCGGAAUCACUGGGCGUAAAGCGUGCGUAGGCGGACUGGCAAGUCAGAAGUGAAAGCCCAGGGCUCAACCCUGGAAUUGCUUUUGAAACUGCAAGUCUCGAGUCCGGGAGAGGCUGGCGGAAUUCCCAGUGUAGAGGUGAAAUUCGCAGAUAUUGGGAGGAACACCAGUGGCGUAAGCGGCCAGCUGGCCCGGAACUGACGCUGAGGCACGAAAGCGUGGGGAGCAAACA
rnacentral:rRNA from 1 species